AACGAACGCUGGCGGCAUGCCUAACACAUGCAAGUCGAACGAGAUCUUCGGAUCUAGUGGCGCACGGGUGCGUAACGCGUGGGAAUCUGCCCUUUGCUUCGGAAUAACAGUUAGAAAUGACUGCUAAUACCGGAUGAUGUCUUCGGACCAAAGAUUUAUCGGCAAAGGAUGAGCCCGCGUAGGAUUAGGUAGUUGGUGGGGUAAAGGCCUACCAAGGCGACGAUCCAUAGCUGGUCUGAGAGGAUGAUCAGCCACACUGGGACUGAGACACGGCCCAGACUCCUACGGGAGGCGGCAGUGGGGAAUUUUGGACAAUGGGCGAAAGCCUGACGGAGCAAUACCGCGUGAGGGAAGAAAGCCUACUGGGUUGUAAACCUCUUUUUUCAGGGAGGAAAAAAUGACGUGUACCUGAAGAAUAAGCAUCGGCUAACUCCGUGCCAGCAGCCGCGGUAAUGUAACUACUG
rnacentral:rRNA from 1 species